rnacentral:rRNA from 1 species
GUUAGGAUUGGCAACGCGUCUGAAGAGAGGGAUGCCAACCCAAGCAGAGUCCCUGCCCUUGAGGCUUCAAUGCGAGCUUGUGCAUACACCAAGACCAGCACCGUUGUUAAUCCGGCGCUCGGAACUAGCUUUGACACAGUUGAAGAAGCAUAUGAGUUUUACAGCCUAUACUCCUGGGAGACUGGCUUUGGCGUCAGGUAUGCCAAAAGUAGGCCGAACUUCCAUAAAAAAUGCAUCCAGGAGUUUGUGUGCGCAUGUGCGGUGAGGAUGAUCCAUUCAAUAAUAAAAUCGACAAGGUGUGGAUGUGCCGUGUUGAUGCGGGUGCUUAGAUCUGAUGAUAAGGGUUGGUACAUAUGUGAACACAAAACCGAGCACAACCAUGCAUUCUUGGUUAACUGUAUGAAACGGCUGGACUGGAAAUCGCACCGACACAGAUAUACUAGAGACUUGGUGAAGUAGCUAAGGGAAAACAAUAUAAGCUUGAGCAAGGUUUACAGUGUGGUCGGCAAUUUUUUUGGAUCUGUGAAGGAUGUGCCAUUCACGAAAAGAUCUCUCAAAACUCUUUGUAGAAAACUUGAUAGGGAGCAAUCAGAAAAUGAUGCCACAAAAAAAUAGAGGUAUUCAACGCAAUGCGGGCUGAAUCCUAAGUUUAAAUACAGUGUGCAAGUUGACACUGAUGGUCGAGUCAAGACUUUGAUGUGGACAACAGGGAGAAGCAUUGAGCAGUUUAAGUGCUUUUGUGAUGCUGUCACAUUUGAUACCACUUACAAGACUAAUCUAUAUGGCAUGCCAUUUGGUCUUUUUGUUGAUGUAAACAAUCACUUCCAAAGCAUUAUUUUUGGUGGUGUGAUGAUGAGCGUUGAGAAAAUCGUCACUUUCAAGUGGAUAUUUACAUAG